rnacentral:rRNA from 1 species
UGGGGAAUUUUGGACAAUGGGGGCAACCCUGAUCCAGCAAUGCCGCGUGAGUGAAGAAGGCCUUCGGGUUGUAAAGCUCUUUUGUCAGGGAAGAAACACCGGCUCUAACACAGUCCGGGAAUGACGGUACCUGAAGAAUAAGCACCGGCUAACUACGUGCCAGCAGCCGCGGUAAUACGUAGGGUGCAAGCGUUAAUCGGAAUUACUGGGCGUAAAGGGCGCGUAGGCGGUUUUUUAAGUCAGAUGUGCAAUCCCCGAGCUCAACUUGGGAACUGCAUCUGAGACUGGAAGGCUAGAGUACUGGAGAGGGUGGUGGAAUUCCUGGUGUAGAGGUGAAAUUCGUAGAUAUCAGGAGGAACACCGGUGGCGAAGGCGGCUUCCUGGACCGAUACUGACGCUGAGACGCGAAAGCGUGGGGAGCAAACAGG